rnacentral:rRNA from 1 species
GCCUCUGGCCAUACCAUCCUGAACACAUCCAUUCUUACCUGAUCUCAGAAGCUAAGCAGAGUCCAUCUUGGUUUGCACUUGGAUGGGAGAAAUAGCAAAGACUGAAGAAAAAUGAAUCUCAGAUGCCUGUGGAA